UACGUAGGGUGCAAGCGUUGUCCGGAAUCAUUGGGCGUAAAGCGCGCGUAGGUGGCUUUGUAAGUCCGUUGUGAAAGUCAGAGGCUCAACCUUUGAAUGCCGAUGGAUACUGCAGAGCUAGAGUACGGAAGAGGCGAGUGGAAUUCCUGGUGUAGCGGUGGAAUGCGCAGAUAUCAGGAGGAACACCAAUAGCGAAGGCAGCUCGCUGGGACGUUACUGACACUAAGGCGCGAAAGCGUGGGGAGCGAACGAGG
rnacentral:rRNA from 1 species